rnacentral:misc_RNA from 1 species
GAUGAAGAACGUAGCGAAAUGCGAUAAGUAAUGUGAAUUGCAGAAUUCAGUGAAUCAUCGAAUCUUUGAACGCACAUUGCGCCCCUUGGUAUUCCGGGGGGCAUGCCUGUUCGAGCGUCAUUUCAACCCUCAAGCCCUGCUUGGUAUUGGGCACCGUCCUUUGCGGGCGCGCCUCAAAGACCUCGGCGGUGGCGUCUUGCCUCAAGCGUAGUAGAAUACACCUCGCUUCGGAGCGUAAGGCGUCGCCCGCCGGACGAACCUUCUGAACUUUUCUCAAGGUUGACCUCGGAUCAGGUAGGGAUACCCGCUGAACUUAAGCAUAUCAAUAAGCGGAGGA